rnacentral:rRNA from 1 species
AGAGCGAACGCUGGCGGCAGGCCUAACACAUGCAAGUCGAGCGCCCGUAGCAAUACGGGAGCGGCAGACGGGAUAGUAACACGUGGGAACGCGCCCUUCGGUUCGGAAUAACUCAGGGAAACUUGAGCUAAUACCGAAUACGCCCUUACGGGGAAAGAUUUAUUGCCGAAGGAACGGCCCGCGUCCGAUUAGCUAGUUGGUGAGGUAAUGGCUCACCAAGGCUACGAUCGGUAGCUGGUCUGAGAGGAUGACCAGCAUCACUGGGACUGAGACACGGCCCAGACUCCUACGGGAGGCAGCAGUGGGGAAUAUGGACAAUGGGCGCAAGCCUGAUCCAGCCAUGCCGCGUGGAUGAUGAAGGCCUUAGGGUUGUAAAGUCCUUUUAACGGGAAGAUAAUGACGGUACCCGUAGAAUAAGCCCGGCUAACUUCGUGCCAGCAGCCGC